UGAGGAAUUUUCCGCAAUGGGCGAAAGCCUGACGGAGCGACGCCGCGUGGAGGAUGACGUUCUUCGGAAUGUAAACUCCUUUCGACCGGAACGAAACAAAUGACGGUACCGGGAGAAGAAGCAUCGGCUAACUACGUGCCAGCAGCCGCGGUAAGACGUAGGAUGCGAGCGUUGUUCGGAAUUACUGGGCGUAAAGCGUGCGUAGGCGGUUUGAUAAGUCAGUGUUGAAAGCCCGGGGCUCAACCUCGGAGACGGCACUGAGACUGUCAGGCUUGGAGGACGGCAGAGGAAGGUGGAAUUCCCAGUGUAGCGGUGAAAUGCGUAGAUAUUGGGAGGAACACCAGUGGCGAAAGCGACCUUCUGGGCUAGUCCUGACGCUGAGGCACGAAAGCGUGGGGAGCAAACGGG
rnacentral:rRNA from 1 species